rnacentral:lncRNA from 1 species
CAUCCCUUCACAACCCUGCAUCACAUAAUCUUAUGGUCCCGAGUCCUAGCCAGUCACAAUUUAUUCGUAGCCAUCCCUACAAUGAUUUGAUCGAGAAAUUUGUGAGCAUGGGAUUUAGAGGCAAUCAUGUAGCAAGCAUUAUCCAGAGGAUGGAGGAAACUCAGCAACCUAUAGAUUUUAACUCUGUACAUGACCGGUUGAAUGUGCAUAAUCCCCAGAGGGGAUGGUCAGGGUAAAGAACUUGUACUGCAUAUACCGUUUGAACAAUGGUGUGCACCAAAUUCUGUUUGAACAGUGUUAUCCUGCAUGUCCUGUAUAAACAAUGUUGUCUCCGUUCAAACCCUCAAAUCAUUGCGUGUUUUAGUAUGCAUGUAAUAACAAACCUUGAUGUAAUGUGCACUGUAUUAUCGUAUAUAGCAUAUAUUAUAUACAAGAUUUAGUGUCGAUUCAGUGAACGGAAUUGAAUGUUGUUAAAUUAUUUGAAGUUGAAUCAUUUAAAAUCAACCCGUGCAAAGUAACUCAGCAAUGGUAACCUAAAACUGUUGCGUGUAACAAGUGCUUGUCAUUCAUAACCAUUUUCUUUUAUUCUAUUGGUCACUACAUUUUUGGUUAUUUUACAUUUGAUUCAACCGGUUUGGUCUGAUUAACGGAGAAUUAAUCUUGCGUCACCAAAUCAAUUAAGAGUUUACUUCUAAGUAGGUUCUUAUUUUUUUAUUUUUUUUUGAGUUCAUAAACUAAAAAGAGCAUAGGUUUUUGAAGUUAGUUUAUGAUAGCUUGAAACUGUUAUGAAAAUUCUAAAAACUCAAGAGAUUUAAUUAAAAAAAUAUAUGAUCAAGGAUUUUAUUUAUUUUUAUUUUAUUUCACAUAUUUGAAAAUUUUCGAAUAGUUCAAGCAUUAAUCGAGUAAUUUAACUUAUAAAAUAUUCUAAAAUAUUUAUUACAAAUUUUAUGUAUAACAAUUUAUAAUUCGAUGAUAACAUCCAAAAUUUGUAUGAGUACAUUAUAGUUAAAUUCUAUUUUUAUGACUUUUUUUAUUUGUUCAUCACAUGCUUUUUUUUCUUGUUUUGAAUUUAUUUUUUCUAAUCAUGAUAUUAAUACAAAAUAAUCUCCAAUAAAAAUAAUGAUUAAUGUUUGUCGAAGAAUAUAAAUGCUGACAACAUAAAUAUUUUUUCUUUAUCUUUUCAUCACAUUCUUCUCUUUUUUUCUUCUGUUAUUUCUCUUUAUUGAAAACAAAUUAUGCACAUUUAUUGUAUAAGUAUACUUCUGUUCAUUUCUCAAUUGAAGGAGCUAAGUGCUAACCGCAAGGCUGUCAAGGCAUAGCUUCAUAGGUAUAGAAAAGGAAGAGAGAGAAAAAAGAAAAGAAAAGAAGAACUCAACGUGGUAACUGGUAACUAACUAACCCGCCUUUUGUUGAUUUGUUCUUUCCGCGCUAUAACCGUUACACUUCCCACCAGGCAAGACAAACCAUGUAGUGUAGACCAACAUCUUUAUGGAAUCAUUGUCCUUAAUGAAACAAAAAAAGGGACAUUUGCACAUCUUUAUAUAUGAUCCCAGUAAAUGAAUGAGUUUGAUACUGUUCUUAAUUUUAAUACAUUGCCACAUCUUUACAGUAAUGCCCAAAAAAUAUGUUCUUAAUUUUAAUUAUAUUUUGUAUGUUCUUAUAUAUUUUUAGAAUAAUUGGUCAUGGUAUGUGAUAAUAUACUGCAUCUGUGGAUCAUAGCAGGUUGGUUUCCGUGGAGACAAUUGGGCUUGGAGUGAGGGAACACAUUUUUACCGGUUCUGUUUCCUCUCUUGUAUGGUUCAUGUCAGGUCAAGAAACGAGUUUUGUCACAUUGGGGCAGAGGGUUUUGGCAAACCCUCUCAAAGUUCAAAUGCAUUAUGGCCACCCUGAUGUGUUUGACAGGUUUUGGUUCAUAACUAGAGGUGGUGGCAUCAGCAAAGCCUCAAGAGUGAUCAGCAUAAGCGAGGACAUCUUUGCCGGCUUUAACUGCACACUUCGUGGAGGUAAUGUCACGCAUCAUGAAUACAUUCAGGUUGGAAAAGGAAGGGAUGUUGGAUUGAACCAAAUAUCAAUGUUUGAAGCAAAGGUUGCAAGUGGAAAUGGGGAGCAAGUACUAAGCAGAAAUGCGUAUAGAUUGGGCCAUAGGCUUGAUUUUUUUCGUAUGUUGUCAUUCUUCUACACUACAGUGGGGUUCUUUUUCAACACAAUGAUGGUGGUUCUCACCGUAUAUGUAUUCUUAUGGGGCAGAUUGUUGCUUGCUCUUAGUGGCAUUGAAGAUGCUAUGGAAAGUAACAGCAACAACAACAAAGCACUAGGUAUAAUCUUGAAUCAGUAGUUCAUAGUCCUAAUUGGACUUUUCACUACCCUUCCAAUGAUUGUGGAGAAUUCCCUUGAACAAGGGUUCCUUCAAGCUGUUUGGGACUUCUUGACCAUGCAGCUCCAACUUUCAUCAGUUUUCUACACGUUCUCUAUGGGCACAUGCAGCCACUUCUUUGGAAGAAUCAUCUUGCAUGGUGGAGCAAAAUACCGAGUCACGGGGCGUGUCUUUGUAGUGGAGCAUAAGAGUUUUGCAGAAAACUAUAGACUCUAUGCUCGCAGCCAUUUUAUGAAAGCAAUUGAACUGGGGCUAAUAGUAACAGUUUAUGCAUCACACAGCACUGUAGCAACUGACACGUUUGUUUACAUUACCAUGACCUUCUCUAGUUGGUUCUUGGUUGCAUCAUGGAUCAUGGCACCGUUUGUGUUCAAUCCUUCUGGCUUUGACUGGUUGAAAACUGUGUAUGAUUUUGAUGACUUCAUAAACUGGAUUUGGCACCGCCAAAGGGUGUUUGCUAAAGCUGAACAAAGCUGGGAAAAAUGGUGGUACGAAGAGCAAGGUCAUCUUAAGGUAACCGGCUUUAAUUUUGGAGAUAAUUUUAGACCUUCGGUUCUUCAUAUUCCAAUAUGGAAUUGCCUAUCAGCUAGGCAUAGCCGCUAGAAGCACCAGCGUUAUUGUUUACUUGCUAUCUUGGGUUUAUGUGUUUGUUGUGUUUGGGACCAUGUGGUGGUAGCUUAUGCUCAGAAUGAAUAUGAAGCAAAACACCACAUCUAUUACCGGUUGGUCCAAUUCAUUCUCAUAGUUAUUGCCAUACUUGUGAUAGUUGCAUUGAUGAAAUUCACUGAAUUCAAAUUCAUGAACAUUUUUACUAGCUUGGUGGCAUUCAUUCCCACAGGAUGGGGUAUGAUAUUGAUUGCACAACAGGCUAUAUUUGCAGUGCACCAUAGUUUGGAAUGUUGUUGUUUCCUUGGCUCGUUUAUAUGAUAUAUUAUUUGGGGUCAUUGUUAUGGCCCUUUGGCUCUCCUAUCGUGGUUGCCAGGGUUUCAGCCUAUGCAAACAAGGAUUCUAUUCGAUGAAUCAUUCAGUAGGGGCCUUCGAAUUUCCAGAUUGUUACGGGAAAAAGUCAUUGUGAUUAAGGGUAUUUUUUUGUUGUUCAUGUUUGUAUGGUUGUAAUUGUUUUUGUAUGCCAAUCAUUUACUGAUAGACUUAAUUUCACAAACCAUUUUUUUUCUGCUGUUGAAUGAGAGGCAGGCAUUGAGUUUCUACAACUAUUAAUGACAUGAACCUUGAGCUUGUUAUUUUGUUUAAUAAUAUGAAUUUGUCUGUCUUGUUUUUUCUGGGUAUUAAGCUGGAAGAAUAUUGGUUGUUGAAAACUUUUUUUUGUGUGUGUGUGUUUGCAAUUGAUAAGAAUCAUAAGAUAUCGAUGAUAUUUUAUAUGGGCAAAUAUUUGGUAUGAUUUGUUUUCAUGGGCUUCCAAUUCCUGGGUCUUUUUUUUUUUUAAUUAUUUGUUUUUCUUUUUGUGAUGGUACGCUACAAACUGGAAAGCAUCUUUACAAAGGGAGUUAUUUUUGCAAACUUUUUUUUUUCUCUCUCUCCACACGUUUACGAUUAUUUUUAAUGUUUUUAAAAUUAGAAUGGUUAUUUAAUUGGUCGAGACACUUGUUUAAAGUCGAAUUGCAGACAAAUUGAUGAUGAUGAUACAUAAAAUAUUAUUAUAAAAAUAUAAUAUCAUAAUUUUACAAUGUUAAAAACUAAAAAUAUAAUAUAAUUUAUAUAUUCUUAACAUUCAAAGUACACAAAAAGGUUGAGAACAAAUAUAUCAUAAUAUUUAGAUAUAUGCAUGAUUCAGUAAUACACUACAUUAUUUAUUAUUAAUAAUAAAUUUACAUCUAGAAUAAAAAAAUAUAAAAAAGACUUUAGGCUAAAAAAUUUUCAAGAAAAAAAUUAAAAUAAUGUUAUAUUAAGCAUAUCUUUUUAUUAAUUUAAUUUGAAUUGUUUUUUGCAAGUUUUUACUUUUUUUUUGCCGAUUUUUCUAGUUCUUUGACGAUUUACCCAUUUUUCUCGGGCUCAGUUCAAUGAUUUAUUAUUUGAGGUGGAUACUUGACAGAUUAACUGGUUUUUUGAACCCAGUUUUUGGAACACUAAUUUUUGUAACUUUUUAAAAAAUUAAUUUUUGAAAUGGAAAUAUGGUAGGAUGCAUUUUCAUAGGUGCCUUCCUGAUCAUGCACGUUGGAGCUUUGAUUUUUGAAAUUGUCAUUAUAACUGAACAUUUGAUUCUUUUUCCUAAGUGGUUUGUUAUUGGUGAUUUGAAUAUUUAAGCAUACAUGGAAAGUAAUACUGAUAUUACAUAUUCGAUGCAUGUGCAUGGAUCUGUGGUCUCAUUGUUCUGAAAUUUCUUUUUUGUCUUUAUCAUAUGAUAUUUUGAUGGUUGCUAAUUGCUGAUUUGAAUAUUGAAGCAUUUAUGGGAAGAAAUAUAUAGUAUAGGAUGGAUGUGUACAGCAAGGUUACAAAUCGUGAAUCCAUCGCGCUAAGCUAAUUUUUUAAUUGGGGAUCGAUCAUAGAAUCGGGAACAUGUAUUAAAGUGUGUACUAGCGGAUAUCAAUAGUACUUAUUUGUGAAAAUGUGAAAAAGAAAUAUUUGUGAAGAUCAAAUAUAUAUUUAACACCUAGUAUGUAAGAGAAAGAGAUAGAGAAGAGAUUUUUUUUUUGUUGAAUAGAAAAGACAAAUAUAAAUAUAAUAGAUUAUUUAAUGUAAUAAUGAAGAAAAAAAUUAUGUAUUAAUGAGAUGUUUAGAGUGGAUGAAUGUUGAUGAAUCAUUAUUCAUUGUUCAAUAAUAAAUUCGCACUUUCUGUCAAAAACAAAAAUAAAUGGGCACUGGAAAAUGGAGUGGGGGAAAAUUACUGUCCCAACCUGUGCCAUUAUCAUUUAUCUAUGUCUGAGUGUCUGAGAGAGAAUUGGAAUGGGGUGGUGAGUGUACUACUUGAAGUGGGGGAAUAUAUAAAGGCAGUAUUUCAUAAUGGGGAGAGCAGCCAUUGCAAUUCCAUCAUAAUUAUUAAGUUUAGAUUGAAUAGGUUGGUUUCACUAAAAGUUUAUCUAAGUUAUAAGUUACUUAAGUUAUAAAAUAUAGUAAAUAAACUUAUUUAUCAAACACUUUUAAUUUGAUUAUACAAGCUUGUAAACUAAUUAAAUAAGUUAUAAAAUGAUUGUCUUGACAAAAACUUAUUUAUCUUUUUAAUUGUGUAUAUUUAAUUUCAGAUAAUUUAGAUAUAUAUUAGUAUAUUAUAUAUAUAUUUUUUGGUUACAUGUAUAUUAUAUAUUUAGCAAUAGAUAUUUAUUUAUAUUUUAAAUAAUAUACCAUCUAUCAAAUAAUUAGUAUAAUAAGGUACCAAAUAAUUUUUUCUUAAAUAUAUUUUUAGUCGUUCAAUUAAAAUUAAAAUUUGAAGGUUUAUUAUUUUUAGUCUUCCAAAUUAAAACUUAUAUGUUUUAUUUUUUAGUUCCUUAAAUUUGUAAAAUGUGUUUUUUAAUUCCUUUUGCAGUAAAAAAAUUAUCACAAAUUAUACAUUCAAGCCUUAAAAAAUAGUCAGAAAGUAUUAAAAAACUAUUUUGAGAAUUUAAGAACUAAAAAACAUAAAUUUUAAUUUGAUGGACUAAAAGAGACAGACCCCAAAUUUGAUGUAACUAAAAUAUAUUUAAACUUUUAUUUUUUUAUAUACAUAAAAUUUUCUAAACUUAAUAUUAAAAAACUUUUAAUUUAAACAUAUUUUAUGAGAAGUAAUACACCCUCAACUAAGGAUAAAGUUGUGUGUCCAUCCUAAAAUUGACAUAAAUAGGUGUGAAAAAAAAAUGGAAUAUAAAAUAAUUGAGACAAAAAAAAUAAAAUAAGUAUAAGUGUAUGAAUAUAAUUAGAUGUAAUACCUCCAAUGAUAGCAGCGGCAAUAUUUUGCAUGUGGCCAGCGAGGUUCACUUGCAGUCCUUUAUAGCUUUGUUUCUUCGUCUUCUCUUCCCUCGUGGAAUGUAGCUUUGUCUUCUCUUACUUAUAUACAACUGAAGAGAUAUAUAUGCUGUUUUGUAUUGGUUCUGAUUCU